UUUUUUUAAUGUGAAUAUAUAAAGGGAGCGGAGUUAACGAACGGUGGACUUUAAAUACCUACUUUGUAUUUCGGUCGAUUAAAUUGUUUCGAACACACAGAAUAGGAACGUAUAUACAUACCGAAAGUCGUCGGUUCCCUCCGUAUGCAAUGUAAUUUUGUCGCGCACGAUUUGAAACGAAACGCACAGUUUAUUUGUGUUUUGAAUCCUGGGUUUUAAAUGUUUCCAUUAUACU